ACGAACGCUGGCGGCGUGCUUAACACAUGCAAGUCGAACGGAAAGGCCCUGCUUUUGUGGGGUGCUCGAGUGGCGAACGGGUGAGUAACACGUGAGUCACCUGCCCUUGACUUUGGGAUAACUUCAUGAAACUGGGGCUAAUACCGGAUAGGAGCUCCUGCUGCAUGGUGGGGGUUGGAAAGUUUCGGCGGUUGGGGAUGGACUCGCGGCUUAUCAGCUUGUUGGUGGGGUAGUGGCUUACCAAGGCUUUGACGGGUAGCCGGCCUGAGAGGGUGACCGGCCACAUUGGGACUGAGAUACGGCCCAGACUCCUACGGGAGGCAGCAGUGGGGAAUAUUGCACAAUGGGCGGAAGCCUGAUGCAGCAACGCCGCGUGCGGGAUGACGGCCUUCGGGUUGUAAACCGCUUUCGCCUGUGACGAAGCGUGAGUGACGGUAAUGGGUAAAGAAGCACCGGCUAACUACGUG
rnacentral:rRNA from 1 species